rnacentral:rRNA from 1 species
AUUGAACGCUGGCGGCAGGCCUAACACAUGCAAGUCGAGCGCGAAAGCACUUCGGUGUGAGUAGAGCGGCGGACGGGUGAGUAAUGCUUGGGAAUCUGCCCAGUAGUGGGGGAUAACGUGUGGAAACGCACGCUAAUACCGCAUACGUCCUACGGGAGAAAGCAGGGGAUCUUCGGACCUUGCGCUAUUGGAUGAGCCCAAGUCGGAUUAGCUUGUUGGUGGGGUAAUGGCCUACCAAGGCAACGAUCCGUAGCUGGUCUGAGAGGAUGAUCAGCCACACUGGGACUGAGACACGGCCCAGACUCCUACGGGAGGCAGCAGUGGGGAAUAUUGCACAAUGGGCGAAAGCCUGAUGCAGCCAUGCCGCGUGUGUGAAGAAGGCUCUAGGGUUGUAAAGCACUUUCAGUAGGGAGGAAAAGCUCAAGGUUAAUAACCUUGAGCCCUGACGUUACCUACAGAAGAAGCACCGGCAAACUCCGUGCCAGCAGCCGCGGUAAUACGGAGGGUGCGAGCGUUAAUCGGAAUUACUGGGCGUAAAGCGCGCGUAGGUGGUUUGAUAAGCUAGCUGUGAAAGCCCCGGGCUCAACCUGGGAACUGCAGUUAGAACUGUCUGACUAGAGUACAGUAGAGGGUGGCGGAAUUUCCUGUGUAGCGGUGAAAUGCGUAGAUAUAGGAAGGAACAUCAGUGGCGAAGGCGGCCACCUGGACUGAUACUGACACUGA